AUGAACGCUAGCGACAGGCUUAACACAUGCAAGUCGAGGGGCAGCACAGGUAGCAAUACCGGGUGGCGACCGGCGCACGGGUGAGUAACGCGUAUGCAACUUACCUAUCAGAGGGGGAUAACCCGGCGAAAGUCGGACUAAUACCGCAUGAAGCAGGGGCCCCGCAUGGGGAUAUUUGCUAAAGAUUCAUCGCUGAUAGAUAGGCAUGCGUUCCAUUAGGCAGUUGGCGGGGUAACGGCCCACCAAACCGACGAUGGAUAGGGGUUCUGAGAGGAAGGUCCCCCACAUUGGUACUGAGACACGGACCAAACUCCUACGGGAGGCAGCAGUGAGGAAUAUUGGUCAAUGGCCGAGAGGCUGAACCAGCCAAGUCGCGUGAGGGAUGAAGGUUCUAUGGAUCGUAAACCUCUUUUAUAAGGGAAUAAAGUGCGGGACGUGUCCCGUUUUGUAUGUACCUUAUGAAUAAGGAUCGGCUAACUCCGUGCCAGCAGCCGCGGUAAUACGGAGGAUCCGAGCGUUAUCCGGAUUUAUUGGGUUUAAAGGGUGCGUAGGCGGCCUUUUAAGUCAGCGGUGAAAGUCUGUGGCUCAACCAUAGAAUUGCCGUUGAAACUGGGGGGCUUGAGUAUGUUUGAGGCAGGCGGAAUGCGUGGUGUAGCGGUGAAAUGCAUAGAUAUCACGCAGAACCCCGAUUGCGAAGGCAGCCUGCCAAGCCAUGACUGACGCUGAUGCACGAAAGCGUGGGGAUCAAACAGGAUUAGAUACCCUGGUAGUCCACGCAGUAAACGAUGAUCACUAGCUGUUUGCGAUACACUGUAAGCGGCACAGCGAAAGCGUUAAGUGAUCCACCUUGGGAGUACGCCGGCAACGGUGAAACUCAAAGGAAUUGACGGGGGCCCGCACAAGCGGAGGAACAUGUGGUUUAAUUCGAUGAUACGCGAGGAACCUUACCCGGGUUUGAACGCAUUCGGACCGAGGUGGAAACACCUUUUCUAGCAAUAGCCGUUUGCGAGGUGCUGCAUGGUUGUCGUCAGCUCGUGCCGUGAGGUGUCGGCUUAAGUGCCAUAACGAGCGCAACCCUUGCCACUAGUUACUAACAGGUAAAGCUGAGGACUCUGGUGGGACUGCCAGCGUAAGCUGCGAGGAAGGCGGGGAUGACGUCAAAUCAGCACGGCCCUUACAUCCGGGGCGACACACGUGUUACAAUGGCGUGGACAAAGGGAAGCCACCUGGCGACAGGGAGCGAAUCCCCAAACCACGUCUCAGUUCGGAUCGGAGUCUGCAACCCGACUCCGUGAAGCUGGAUUCGCUAGUAAUCGCGCAUCAGCCAUGGCGCGGUGAAUACGUUCCCGGGCCUUGUACACACCGCCCGUCAAGCCAUGGGAGCCGGGGGUACCUGAAGUCCGUAACCGCGAGGAUCGGCCUAGGGUAAAACUGGUGACUGGGGCU
rnacentral:rRNA from 1 species